GAGAAGGUUGGUGACAUCGCUCUCAUCCCUCUGCCUUCUGGUCUGGUCCAGCUCAGCAUUCAGAUGUUCCACUGGGCUCCUCCCUGCCAUAUUUUUACAUUCGACAGUAAUUGCUGCCCGCUCGUGCUGUGUGAUGGUCCAUCGGUGAAUGGCACCUUUAUUAAGGGAGAACCCACACACACCUCCCUUAGUCUUGGUGUCUCUAUUCACUGUUUGUUCGAUCACCUGAUCACAGGCUGUACCAGCAAAGCCAUGUGUUGUACUUCUACGAGCAACAAAGUCUCCUGAAAUUAGCUGCUGGUGUGCAAAUGGGUGGGUUUCUUUCAAGUUUGUCAUCUCACCCCAGUAUGCCGUCAGAUACCUGGCAUAAUUCACUUUGUCACAGGCAAAAAACCAUGGCAGCAUGGACCGGACGGUGGACAAAUGGAGAGCCCAGUUCCCCUCUCUGGUUGCACGAAUGAAGAGAAGCAAAAUCUCCACCAUUUCAAGCAGUACUGUCUUGCAGUGUGUUGAAGUAAGCCUGCCACCGGAGUCUUUGCAGUGCCUCUGCGAGGAGUUUGUGGGCCCGGAUGCUCCUGUUGUAAUGGUGGCCGGAAAUAACACCGCCAAUGGAGCCUGCAGCCACGAGCUCUGAUUCAAUUAAGAUGUCCUGAAGGCCGGCGUCUGCAUAGAGCUUCCCAAUGCAAGAGAGAUUGUCUGCAAUGGCGAGGGAGCGGCUCAGGAUUGUGUGAACUGUUGUGAGGUCGGUUGGGCUAGCAUCAAUCACGGGGUCUCCUCCCCGAAGUCAUUGUUGUCCCAGACCAAGGUCACCGGCACUUCAGGACAGAUGGACUCGGGUAU